GCUUUCAAAAAAGGUAGACCCAGUUACCACAUCCCUUGACAAGGAUGAAGGAGAUCAUUUGAUCUUUCUAACACGUGUGUAUUACUCUCUACUUCAGAGCAUUCUAUUUUACUUU